rnacentral:rRNA from 1 species
UACGAAGGGGGCUAGCGUUGCUCGGAAUCACUGGGCGUAAAGGGUGCGUAGGCGGGUCUUUAAGUCAGGGGUGAAAUCCUGGAGCUCAACUCCAGAACUGCCUUUGAUACUGAGGAUCUUGAGUUCGGGAGAGGUGAGUGGAACUGCGAGUGUGGAGGUGAAAUUCGUAGAUAUUGGGAAGAACACCGGUGGCGAAGGCGGCUCACUGGCCCGAAACUGACGCUCAUGCACGACAGCGUGGGGAUCAAACAGG